GUAGGUGGCAAGCGUUGUCCGGAAUUAUUGGGCGUAAAGCGCGCGCAGGCGGGUUCUUUAAGUCUGAUGUGAAAGCCCACGACUCAACCGUGGAGGGUCAUUGGAAACUGGAGAACUUGAGUACAGAAGAGGAAAGCGGAAUUCCACGUGUAGCGGUGAAAUGCGUAGAGAUGUGGAGGAACACCAGUGGCGAAGGCGGCUUUCUGGUCUGUAACUGACGCUGAGGCGCGAAAGCGUGGGGAGCAAACAGGAUUAGAUACCCUGGUAGUCCACGCCGUAAACGAUGAGUGCUAAGUGUUAGGGGGUUUCCGCCCCUUAGUGCUGCAGCUAACGCAUUAAGCACUCCGCCUGGGGAGUACGGCCGCAAGGCUG
rnacentral:rRNA from 1 species